rnacentral:rRNA from 1 species
GAUGAACGCUGGCGGCGUGCCUAAUACAUGCGAGUCGAGCGAACGGACGGGAAGCUUGCUUCUCUGAUGUUAGCGGCGGACGGGUGAGUAACACGUGGAUAACCUACCUAUAAGACUGGGAUAACUUCGGGAAGCCGGAGCUAAUACCGGAUGAUAUUUUGAACCGCAUGGUUCAAAAGUGAAAGACGGUCUUGCUGUCACUUAUAGAUGGAUCCGCGCUGCAUUAGCUAGUUGGUAAGGUAACGGCUUACCAAGGCAACGAUGCAUAGCCGACCUGAGAGGGUGAUCGGCCACACUGGAACUGAGACACGGUCCAGACUCCUACGGGAGGCAGCAGUAGGGAAUCUUCCGCAAUGGGCGAAAGCCUGACGGAGCAACGCCGCGUGAGUGAUGAAGGUCUUCGGAUCGUAAAACUCUGUUAUUAGGGAAGAACAUAUGUGUAAGUAACUGUGCACAUCUUGACGGUACCUAAUCAGAAAGCCACGGCUAACUACGUG